rnacentral:rRNA from 1 species
GGAUAUGAGCUCCUUCCGCAUGGUGGGGGUUGGAAAGAUUUUUCGGUCUGGGAUGGGCUCGCGGCCUAUCAGCUUGUUGGUGAGGUAAUGGCUCACCAAGGCGUCGACGGGUAGCCGGCCUGAGAGGGUGACCGGCCACACUGGGACUGAGACACGGCCCAGACUCCUACGGGAGGCAGCAGUGGGGAAUAUUGCACAAUGGGCGGAAGCCUGAUGCAGCAACGCCGCGUGAGGGAUGACGGCCUUCGGGUUGUAAACCUCUUUUAGCAGGGAAGAAGCGAAAGUGACGGUACCUGCAGAAAAAGCGCCGGCUAACUACGUGCCAGCAGCCGCGGUAAUACGUAGGGCGCAAGCGUUAUCCGGAAUUAUUGGGCGUAAAGAGCUCGUAGGCGGUUUGUCGCGUCUGCUGUGAAAUCCCGAGGCUCAACCUCGGGCCUGCAGUGGGUACGGGCAGACUAGAGUGCGGUAGGGGAGAUUGGAAUUCCUGGUGUAGCGGUGGAAUGCGCAGAUAUCAGGAGGAACACCGAUGGCGAAGGCAGAUCUCUGGGCCGUAACUGACGCUGAGGAGCGAAAGGGUGGGGAGCAAACAGGCUUAGAUACCCUGGUAGUCCACCCCGUAAACGUUGGGAACUAGUUGUGGGGACCAUUCCACGGUUUCCGUGACGCAGCUAACGCAUUAAGUUCCCCGCCUGGGGAGUACGGCCGCAAGGCUAAAACUCAAAGGAAUUGACGGGGACCCGCACAAGCGGCGGAGCAUGCGGAUUAAUUCGAUGCAACGCGAAGAACCUUACCAAGGCUUGACAUAUACGAGAACGGGCCAGAAAUGGUCAACUCUUUGGACACUCGUAAACAGGUGGUGCAUGGUUGUCGUCAGCUCGUGUCGUGAGAUGUUGGGUUAAGUCCCGCAACGAGCGCAACCCUCGUUCUAUGUUGCCAGCACGUAAUGGUGGGAACUCAUGGGAUACUGCCGGGGUCAACUCGGAGGAAGGUGGGGAUGACGUCAAAUCAUCAUGCCCCUUAUGUCUUGGGCUUCACGCAUGCUACAAUGGCCGGUACAAAGGGCUGCAAUACCGUAAGGUGGAGCGAAUCCCAAAAAGCCGGUCCCAGUUCGGAUUGAGGUCUGCAACUCGACCUCAUGAAGUC